rnacentral:rRNA from 1 species
UACGUAGGGGGCGAGCGUUGUCCGGAAUUAUUGGGCGUAAAGGGCUCGUAGGCGGUUCGUCACGUCGGGAGUGAAAACUCGGGGCUUAACCCCGAGCCUGCUUCCGAUACGGGCAGACUAGAGGUAGGCAGGGGAGAGCGGAACUCCUGGUGUAGCGGUGGAAUGCGCAGAUAUCAGGAAGAACACCGAUGGCGAAGGCAGUUCUCUGGGCCGUAACUGACGCUGAGGAGCGAAAGCGUGGGGAGCGAACAGG